UGGUCAAGUUAUUAAGGGUGCAGGGCGGAUGCCUUGGCACUAGGAGCCGAUGAAGGACGUGAUAAGCUGCGAUAAGCUUCGGGGAGUUGCACGUAAACUUUGAUCCGAAGAUUUCCGAAUGAGGAAACUCACUUAGAGUAAUGUCUAAGUAUCAUUAAGUGAAUACAUAGCUUAAUGAGGGGAACUCAGGGAACUGAAACAUCUAAGUACCUGAAGGAAGAGAAAGAAAUUCGAUUCCGUAAGUAGCGGCGAGCGAACGCGGAUUAGCCCAAACCAAUAAAGUUUUCUUUAUUGGGGUUGCGGACAUAUCAUAACGAAGAGGUAUCGUAAUUGAAGAGGUUUGGAAAGACCCACCACAGAAGGUAAUAGUCCUGUAUGUUAAACGAGAAGACUUUAGAUAUGAUCCAGAGUACCACGGGACACGUGAAACCCUGUGGGAAGCAGGAGGGACCACCCUCCAAGGCUAAAUACUACCUAGUGACCGAUAGCGUAUAGUACCGUGAGGGAAAGGUGAAAAGAACCCCGGGAGGGGAGUGAAAUAGAACCUGAAACCCUGCACUUACAAGCUGUGGAAGCACAUUUCUGGUGUGACCGCGUACUUUUUGUAGAACGGGCCAACGAGUUACGUUAAGUAGCAAGGUUAAGCACUUAAGGUG
rnacentral:rRNA from 1 species